AAACCUCACCACUUCACCAUUUCUAAAUUCUGCAGUCUCAAUUUCACACAGCAAGUUAAGAAAUAAAUAUCUUCCACCACACCUAUUCAAGGUCCAGACGGGAAGUGAAAGCUAAAGAAGGAGGUAACUCUACGCCCCUAGUGGGAACGGAAUGAGGUUGAGCGGGUGAUGGAAUGGAGUGGAGUUGAGCGGAUGUACCCUUGAGACGUAGAACAGUAAUGUAACCUUGAGUAUACAUCUUCAUAUGUAUAACUCACACGUAUUUCCGCUGCAAGAUACUCUGAUUAUGCUAAUGUUUUAUUUUAAGUAUGAUACUCUUUUGUUGGGUAAUCCACUUCGACGGGCCUUCCCGAACAAACGUCUUGUAUUUGCCCAAGUGAUCAGUUAUGAUCCUAGUGUUAUAUAAUAAAUGUCUCUUUUCGUAAAAUGUUUGAUUGUUAAGUAAAUGCCCCUUUCUUUCCCCGCUUCUUAA